rnacentral:rRNA from 1 species
CACCGCGGUUAUACGAGGGGCCCGAGUCGAUAGCCCUCGGCGUAAAGGGUGGUUAGGAGACGUACUUAAAACUAAAGGUAAAUAACUUCAAAGCUGUUAUACGCUCAUGAAGUCAAGAGAAUCAACUACGAAAGUGACUUUAUAACUUCUGAAUCCACGAAAGCUAUGGCA